GUCCGUUUUGGUCACUCUUCAACUGCUCUUUCCACAGCCAGAAGCUGACAUUCAGAUUGAAUUGUAGUACAUCUGAUCAAGCAAGGGAUGUGUUUUGAAGGCAAAGCUCGAAGAUUGAGUUGUGUGACUCCACUGGUAUUGAAAAAGGGCCCUAAAGUGAGGCUGUGUAUUUACCUUGUAUUCUUGGGAUUGAAGGAGAAUAGGCUGGAACAGUUUUCCUUUUCUUUAUGAAGAAUGAACUCUGCUCUGUGCAUGCAAUGGGAGUUGGAGCGAACGAUCUGUGGGAGAUCCUUCCCACUCCCCCUGCCCCAGGAUGGGAUUUGGAGCACACAACACCCUUAUUGCUUCCCUCUCCUGUUUGGUGUUCUGCAGUGGUUGUGCCAAGCUCACCCUCAUGCCCCCGUGGCCUGGAAAAAGUACUUUUUUUCCUAAAGAAAGUUUGGAAGAGGGAAAAUUCACACAUGGAAAACAAAUGAGCAUCGGGAACCACUCCUCAUAGCUAAUGGCUACUUGGUAUGUCGCCAGAAUUCAUAUGGAUCCUUAAAAUCAAGUAAAUUAUGCCCGCAGUGAUAGCUCCCUUUGCUGGAGUCCCACAACAACCACAAAUGGUGGAGUGAAGCUGAACUGCCAAGUUUCAUUUUUCACCUCCCCAUUCCUUUCAAUUAAGUAGAUUUGUUUGCUGCAGGAGGGCCUAUGCAUAUUUUAUGUGCCAGCCCCUCUCUCAGGUGCGCUCACAGCCGCCGUGCCCGGCACGCGUGUCCUCACCCAGCCCCUCUCCCAUCCCAUCCCAUCCCA